GCCUGGGUGGCUCAGUCGGUUGAGCGUCCGACUUCAGCUCAGGUCAUCAUCUCAUGGUCUGUGGGUUCAAGCCCCGCGUCGGGCU
rnacentral:tRNA from 1 species